UACGGGGGGAGCAAGCGUUGUUCGGAUUUACUGGGCGUAAAGGGCGCGUAGGCGGUCAGCACAAGUCAGUUGUGAAAUCUCCGGGCUUAACUCGGAAAGGUCAACUGAUACUGUGCGACUAGAGUGCAGAAGGGGCAACUGGAAUUCUCGGUGUAGCGGUGAAUGCGUAGAUAUCGAGAGGAACACCUGCGGCGAAGGCGGGUUGCUGGGCUGACACUGACGCUGAGACACGAAAGCGUGGGGAGCAAACAGG
rnacentral:rRNA from 1 species